rnacentral:rRNA from 1 species
AGAUUGAACGCUGGCGGCAUGCCUAACACAUGCAAGUCGAACGGGAGUAGCAAUACUCUAGUGGCGGACGGGUGAGGGAAUACGUAGGAAUUUGCCCUUAAGUGGGGGAUAACCCGGGGAAACCCGGAUUAAUACCGCAUGACCUCGAAAGAGCAAAGUGGGGGAUCGCAAGACCUCACGCUUUUGGAGAAGCCUACGUCGGAUUAGCUAGUUGGUGAGGUAAUGGCUCACCAAGGCGACGAUCCGUAAACUGGUCUGAGAGGAUGAUCAGGUCACACCGGAACUGAGACACGGUCCGGACUCCACGGGAGCAGCAGUGGGGAAUAUGGACAAUGGGCGCAAGCCUGAUCCGAGCAAUGCCGCGUGUGUGAACGAAGGUCCGUUGGUUAGUAAAGGCUACGUUUAAGGUUGGGUAAACG